rnacentral:lncRNA from 1 species
CCACCACAUGUAGGAAAGAGCUACCACCCCGGUCGUCCGGCAAGUGUGUGAAGCUACCACAUGAAGAUUAAAUUGGAUAAGCCGAAAAAGGUUGGAAAAAUAUAAAUUUUUUAGAAUUGUCGGAGUAAUAAGGUGCUAGUUUGAAAAAGAUGCUCAAAGAGCCACCCCCGGUGCCAUAUUAGUUAAAUCUCUAUUUUGAAUGUAUUGCAACAAAUUGGUGUCAAUUUUGUUGAAUUUCUAAAAAUCAUUUUUCAUCAACUUACAUCUUGAUGUUUUUGAAUCAUUAAAUUAUUUUUGAUUUUGAAAUUUUGAUGUUUUGAUGUGUUUUGAAAUUUUAUAAUAUCUUAUUUUCAUUACAAUGAGUUUUGGAGUAAAAGC